rnacentral:rRNA from 1 species
CUACCAUGCAAGUCGAGCGAGAAAGUCUGGUAGCAAUACAGAUGAGUAAAGCGGCGCACGGGUGAGUACAAAAUGAGUAACCUACCAGAAAGUUCGGGACAACUCUGGGAAACUGGAGCUAAUACCGGAUGUGGUUAUCAGGACUUCGGUUCUGAUAAUUAAAGGUGACCUCUCCAUGGAAGUUAUCGCUUUCUGAUGGGCUCAUUUCCUAUCAUGGUAGUUGGUAGGGUAAUGGCCUACCAAGCCGAUGACGGGUAGCUGGUCUGAGAGGACGGCCAGCCACGCUGGGACUGAAACACGGCCCAGACUCCUACGGGAGGCAGCAGUGGGGAAUAUUGGACAAUGGGCGAAAGCCUGAUCCAGCGACGCCGCGUGGGCGAUGAAGGUCUUCGGAUUGUAAAGCCCUGUGAGACGGGAAGAAAAGUGCGCGGGAAUAAUACCCCGUGUAUUUGACGGUACCGUCAGAGGAAGCACCGGCUAACUCUGUGCCAGCAGCCGCGGUAAUACAGAGGGUGCAAGCGUUGUCCGGAAUUACUGGGUGUAAAGGGCGCGUAGGUGUCCGGAUGUGUCAGAUGUGAAAUUCCAUGGCUUAACUAUGGAUCUGCAUUUGAAACUAUCCGGAUAGAGUACGGUAGGGGAAAGUGGAAUUCCCGGUGUAGAAGUGAAAUUCGUA